UUGGCUGCUAUGUGCUUUGAAUGCAGAGCUCAAAAAGACAACGUGCUCCAACCCAAAGGAGGUGUGACUGUUAGUGAGGGAGAGACAGUAACACUGGACUGUCACUAUAACACCAGUGACACAAAUCCAUAUCUUUACUGGUACAGACAGGCUGCAGACGACAAGCCCACAUUCAUUCUGAGCCGCAUUACUGCUGAAUCAGGGAACACAGCGGACGGGUUCAAGGAGAGAUUUGAUUCCAGACUGGAUUCCAGCUCAAGAUCAGUUCCUCUGAAGAUCCAGAGUCUGCAGCUGUCUGACUCUGCUGUGUACUACUGUGCUCUGAGGCCCACAGUGACAGGAAACUGCAGAACCUUCUACACAAACCUUUGGAGUGUUUAUCAAGAAUCCACACAACACAUUGUUAACCCACAUCCACUAGAGGGCAGGUUCUCUGAGGAUUCAGUUACACCAUUUCAUGAUAGAAUUGUGGCUUUGGAAGGAGACAGGGUCACUCUCUCCUGCAACUACUCCAUCUCUUCACCGAACAACUUCUACUGGUAUCGACAGUUUUCUCCAUAA